AAAUUUGUUUGCAACUGCGCCAAGUCAACUUGUCGCCACAGACAAAGGGACUGUCUUUGCUAAAAUUGACCGGAAGAAAAGAUGAUAUUUCGCAUCGUAAUCGACAGACAUUUAAUUUAGUGGUGAUUUCGAUGCGAAUGUGACUGUAUUAUUGACUUGAAGUGAUCCAGAUAGUCGUUAAUAUAACAGACAUAUUUUUGUCAUAUUUCGGCGUUUUGCAAAAUCGGGAUAUAUCUCGGGAAUAAUAGUAGUGUGUAAAGUGCGGUAAAACCCCCAGUAAAGUAAAAUACUGUUAUUUGCAAGUGCGGAAAGUGCAUUUAAGUUUGUGGUCCACUAGAAAUACAGAAAAACGAAGAUAUCUAGAAGUACAUCGAAAACAAGUUGUUUGGUUAAGGAAUUGUCCGCUGGCUAAGAAAAGGUCUGCAAUCGGCAAGUCAAGACUGAUUUGACAAACAUCACAUGGCUCGAGUAACAAAGGAAUUUCACGAUGAAGAAAUAUACUGCGCCAGAACGUACCUUGUGGUAA